GACAGCAUGAUGUUCUGGAAGCCAAGAGAAAAGAGGAGUUUGAGGAUAAAUGGUCACCCAUGUCAAAUGUUGCUGAGAUGCUGAGGACAGCGACUCCAAGUGCAUCAGCAUAGGCAUUGCCAGGAGCUCAUGAGGAAUGCAGACUGUCAGGUCCCACCCCAGACCUACUCAACAGAAACUACAUGGUAAGCAGAUUCCCAGGUGACUCCAGGCACCUUACAGUUUGAGAAGCACUGCUGCAUGCUCUCCUACCUUCCUGGUCUGUAACAUCUGUUGCUGUGAGUAUAAAGACACUGUGAACAUUGUAAAAUC
rnacentral:sRNA from 1 species